rnacentral:rRNA from 1 species
UACCUGCAGCUCGAGUGGUAACCGCUAUUAUUGGGCCUAAAGCGUCCGUAGCCGGUUUGGUAAAUAUCUGGGUAAAUCGUGAGGCUUAACUUCACGAAUUUCGGAUAGACUGCCAGACUUGGGAUCGGGGGAGGUCAGAGGUACUCCAGGGGUAGCGGUGAAAUGUUGUAAUCCUUGGAGGACCACCGGUAGCGAAGGCGUCUGACUAGAACGAGUCCGACGGUGAGGGACGAAGCCCUGGGGCGCAAAACCGGAUUAGAUGCCCGGGUAGUCCAGGGUGUAAACGAUGUGGGCUUUGUAUUGGAGGUCCCACGUGGGCGUCCAGUGCAGAAGAGAAGUUGUUAAGCCCACCGCCUGGGAAGUACGGUCGCAAGGCUGAAACUUAAAGGAAUUGGCAGGGGAGCACAGCAACGGGAGGAGCGUGCGGUUU